UACGUAGGGGGCAAGCGUUGUUCGGAAUUACUGGGCGUAAAGCGCGCGUAGGCGGAUCGCUAAGUCAGGGGUGAAAUCCCAGGGCUCAACCCUGGAACUGCCUUUGAUACUGACGAUCUGGAGAUCGGGAGAGGUUGGUGGAAUUCCGAGUGUAGAGGUGAAAUUCGUAGAUAUUCGGAGGAACACCAGAAGCGAAGGCGGCCAACUGGCCCGAUACUGACGCUGAGGCGCGAAAGCGUGGGGAGCAAACAGG
rnacentral:rRNA from 1 species